rnacentral:ncRNA from 1 species
GAGUUUUAUUCUGGCUUGAGUAAUAAUUUAUUGUUACAUUGAUUUAUAUAUAAAUAGGUGUUUGAAUUAUUUAAAUCUUAAUGAUUUUGUAAUAAGGGUUAAAUGUAAUAUUUUGUAUUGGAUAUAAAGGAUGUUUUGAUCUGGUAAUUGUUAAGGAGUAUUGAUGAAGUAUGUGCCAGCAGUCGCGGUUAGACAUUAAAUAUAAAUAAAUUUUGUUAGUUAUAUAGUUUAUAGUGAGUGUAAAUAUAGAAGUGGAGUUAUUAGGUGAAAUUAAUAAUUUUGGUGGGUAUAUUAUGAUGUGUUAUGAUGCUAUGAAAUCAGAUAAAUAAACUAGGAUUAGAUACCCUAUUAUUUUUGAAUUAAAAUUGAAAACUGGAGUAGUAGUAGGUAUGGGCUUGAAACUUAAAGAAUUUGGCGGUAUUUUAGUCUAUUUAGAGGAGUCUGUUCAGUAAUUGAUAAUCCGCAUUGAACCUUACUUAUUUUAUAUUUGUAUACCGUCGUUGUUGAGAAUCUUUUUAGAGUAUUUUCUUGAUAUUGAAUUAGGUAGUAUUUCAGAUCAAGGUGCAGUUUGUGGAUAAGUUGAGAUGGAUUACAUUAUUAUUGAUAUGUGGAUAUAUUGUUGUAAGGUGAUGGUUGAAAAUGGAUUUAAUAGUAAUAAUUUAAAGAUUGUUAUUGUGAAGUUAGCUCUAAAAUAUGUACACAUCGCCCGUCGCUCUCGUUAAUUAAGGUGAGAUAAGUCGUAACAUAGUAGGUGUACCGGAAGGUGUAGCUAGAUUGA